AAUUGAGUCUAAGAUAUUACUAAAGGCUACAUUGAGGCUAUCAUUUUCAAUGUCCACAUGAAUAUUAAAAUCCCCCACUACAAUGACCUUAUCAGUAUUUAGCACCAAAUCAGAUAAAAAAUCAGAGAUCUGAUCCAAAAACUCAGAAUAAGGGCCUGGUGGACAAUAUAAAACUGCAAACAAGAGUGGGUUUUACAGUUUUGCAAUCUGGAUUAGGAAAACUAAGAAUAAGAUGUUCAAACGAACUGUAAUUAUUAAUUGGUAAGGGAUUGAUUAAUCGGUCUGAAUGAAAAAUGGUUGCUACUCCUCUUCGCCCUGUACUUCGAGCAAUAUGAUGAUUUAAAUAAUUAGAAGGAGUCGACUUGUUUAAACUAACAUAGUCCUCUUGCUGCAGCCAGGAUUCUGAGAGAGAGAGCAAAGAGAUCUGAUUAUCACAAAUCAAGUCAUUAAGUAUAAUAUCUUAGUCUUAGAAAAAAUAGACCUAAUGUUCAACACACACACUUCUAGCCAGCAAAUCGAGCUAAAACACAUUGUUUUACAAUUAUUAUUCUCAUGGUAUGUUAUUUCUUCAUAUACAAACUGCUCGGCCAAAAAAAGUCACUGCCAAAAAAAAGGUCACACACUAACAUUUAAUUGGACCGCCUUUAGCUUUGAUUACAUCACCCAUUUGCUGUGGUGUUGUUUGAAUAAGCUUCUGCAGCAUUACCAGAUUUAGUUCCAUCCAUUAAAGGCACAGUCUGCAACAUUUAAAUGUAGAAUAACUUUAAAAAUGUUUGAUUUUGACCAUCUGACCCAAUUUUAUCAAAAAAAGUAAAUAAUCUUUAAUAUUUCAAUUUUCUCCUUAGUCCCUCCCCUGCCCUGUAGAGCUCAGCCAAUGGCUGUGUCUCAAUUCAGGGUCUGCAUCCUACCUCGGCCGGAUUCGUCGGCCGGUUACGUCACAGCGCCGCGACUCGGCCUGUCCCAAUUCGAAGACUCCUUCAAAUGCGGUCGACGAAUGCGGCCUUCUUUUUGCCUGAAUGAAGGAUGGGUCGGGUGUAUCCUUCAAUAGGUAGCAUUUCCCAAGAUGCCUUGCGGGCCGGCCGGCAGAAAAACUUAAAAACAAUGGCGGACAGUGAAGCGGGAGCUGUCGGAGAGGAUUGCGCAUAUAAAUGUAAGUAUAAACUUGAAAACUGUCAGUUUAAGGACUUUUUGUGAUACAUGAACGUUAUUUUAGUUAGAAAUGUUACAGUAAAAGUGCUUGUAUUGCGGUCUCGGCUCGUAUGUUCGGCCGCGCUCGGUGUCGUACUUCUCCCGCUACGUUUCCCCCUGAUUUUAAUAGAAGUUUGUAUUUUAGGACCAAAAGAGAAAACCAGGGAAUUUAUUAAGCUUAGGGCGGAGAUGGACCACAUGAUCACCGGAGCAAAGUAUUCGGCGGCUGUGGCAUGGAGACUAUUCUGGAGAAAAUGGGCAUCCAGGGGAAGGUGCCAGCGAUGAGCUUCUGGAGCUGAUCUGGGAGGAAUUGAGGCUGCAGAGGGAGGCAGAGCUGCAGAGAGCACAGGAGAGAAGGAAGAAUUUUGACAGCUUUUUACUUUGCUAGAAAAAAAUGGUUAAGGAAGAUUAAAUAUGUACAUGUAAAAGAAAUAUCUAAAUAAAAUCAGUUCUGCAUUAAA